rnacentral:snRNA from 1 species
AAACCCAGCUCAGUCGAUCAAGGAACUGUUUAUUCCAUUGAUGUGCGAAGAUUUU